UGCUGUAUCUAUUUGCUAAUAUUAUGGAUAAAAGGGCUGGGGAUGUGGCUCAAGCAGUAACGCGCUCGCCUAGCAUGCGGGGGGGCUCUGAGUUCGAUCCUUAGCACCACAUAAAAAUAAAAAUGUUGUGUUCAUCAAAAACUGAAAAAUAAAUAUUAAAAAAAAAUCUCUCCCUCUCUCUCAAAAAAAAAUUUUAAAAAAAAUAUUAUGGAUAAAAUCUGGAUUGGGGACUCAGUUUACAGGAAGCCACAGGGUUAUGAUCAGAAUAGAAUAGAAUAUCCAUCAAAUAAAAGGUCGUGGAAUGAUCAUUGACUAAAACUUCAGAAAUAAAUCUGUUUAAACAGUAUAGGUGUGGUGGCACACAUCUGUGAUCCAGCAACUCAGGAACUGAGGCGGGAGGAUCACAAGUUCAAGGCCAGCCUCAGCUACUUAGUGAGGCCUACCUGGUGAGACCCCUUCUCAAAAUAAAAACUUAAAAAGGGCUGGGGAUGUGGAUCAGUGGUUAAGUGCCCCUGGAUUGAAUUCCCUAUACCAUUAAAAAAAAGAAAAAAAAGUGAUAACUUUCAAGUUAAUGAUAAUAUUUAAAAUUGCUGGUUGUGGUAGAGGUUGAAAAUAUAGUAAAACAUUCAUGACUACUAGUGAAAGCAAUGAAUGAUACAAAUCUUUUGAAAGUAUUUUGACAGUUGUUAAAUUUGUAAUAUUUCUGUUCUUUCCAUUUAUUUAUUUAUUUUUAUUGGUAACUGGAGAUUAAACCCAGGUGUGGCUCUACCACUGAGCUCUAUCCUCAGCCCUUUUUAUUUAUUUUGAGAUACAUUGCUGAGGCUGACCUCAAACUUGCAAUCCUGCCUCAGCCUCCAUAGUGGCUGGGAUUACAGGCAUGCACUACUAC
rnacentral:lncRNA from 1 species